GAUGAACGCUGGCGGCGUGCUUAACACAUGCAAGUCGAACGGUGAACGAGGGAGCUUGCUCCCCCCGGACCAGUGGCGAACGGGUGAGUAACACGUGAGCAAUCUGCCCUGGACUCUGGGAUAAGCGUUGGAAACGACGUCUAAUACCGGAUACGAGGCGUGGGGGCAUCCCCAACGCCUGGAAAGAACUUCGGUCCAGGAUGAGCUCGCGGCCUAUCAGCUAGUUGGUGAGGUAACGGCUCACCAAGGCGACGACGGGUAGCCGGCCUGAGAGGGUGACCGGCCACACUGGGACUGAGACACAGCCCAGACUCCUACGGGAGGCAGCAGUGGGGAAUAUUGCACAAUGGGCGCAAGCCUGAUGCAGCAACGCCGCGUGAGGGACGACGGCCUUCGGGUUGUAAACCUCUUUUAGCAGGGAAGAAGCGAAAGUGACGGUACCUGCAGAAAAAGCACCGGCUAACUACGUGCCAGCCGCCGCAGUAAUAC
rnacentral:rRNA from 1 species